GGAUGUGAGGGCGAUCUGGCUUAAACAUCUGUCACCCCAAUGAUCGCCAGGCUAGGCAGGCAUCCUCUUCCUCCCUCACUGCUCCAAGUGCAUCCCUCCAAAAAUGUGCACUCGAAGAGAGUGGCCUUCCCGGAAUAGAGAUGGACCUGUCUUCGGUCGAGAGUAUACGGGUAUCUGUGCUCCUCUGCUAGAACCUCCAAACAAGCUCUCAAAUCCUAUUUUUACCACCUAUAGCUUGACUGAUUUCAGUUGUCACUUAAUACCUCUGAUUGCAACUUCCUCCUCCAAGAAGGGAGGGGA
rnacentral:snRNA from 1 species